rnacentral:rRNA from 1 species
CGAGCGAACAGACGAGGAGCUUGCUCCUCUGACGUUAGUGGCGGACGGGUGAGUAACACGUGGAUAACCUACCUAUAAGACUGGGAUAACUUCGGGAAACCGGAGCUAAUACCGGAUAAUAUAUUGAACCGCAUGGUUCAAUAGUGAAAGACGGUUUUGCUGUCACUUAUAGAUGGAUCCGCGCCGCAUUAGCUAGUUGGUAAGGUAACGGCUUACCAAGGCGACGAUGCGUAGCCGACCUGAGAGGGUGAUCGGCCACACUGGAACUGAGACACGGUCCAGACUCCUACGGGAGGCAGCAGUAGGGAAUCUUCCGCAAUGGGCGAAAGCCUGACGGAGCAACGCCGCGUGAGUGAUGAAGGUCUUCGGAUCGUAAAACUCUGUUAUUAGGGAAGAACAAAUGUGUAAGUAACUAUGCACGUCUUGACGGUACCUAAUCAGAAAGCCACGGCUAACUACGUGCCAGCAGCCGCGGUAAUACGUAGGUGGCAAGCGUUAUCCGGAAUUAUUGGGCGUAAAGCGCGCGUAGGCGGUUUUUUAAGUCUGAUGUGAAAGCCCACGGCUCAACCGUGGAGGGUCAUUGGAAACUGGAAAACUUGAGUGCAGAAGAGGAAAGUGGAAUUCCAUGUGUAGCGGUGAAAUGCGCAGAGAUAUGGAGGAACACCAGUGGCGAAGGCGACUUUCUGGUCUGUAACUGACGCCGAUGUGCGAAAGCGUGGGGAUCAAACAGGAUUAGAUACCCUGGUAGUCCACGCCGUAAACGAUGAGUGCUAAGUGUUAGGGGGUUUCCGCCCCUUAGUGCUGCAGCUAACGCAUUAAGCACUCCGCCUGGGGAGUACGACCGCAAGGUUGAAACUCAAAGGAAUUGACGGGGACCCGCACAAGCGGUGGAGCAUGUGGUUUAAUUCGAAGCAACGCGAAGAACCUUACCAAAUCUUGACAUCCUCUGACCCCUCUAGAGAUAGAGUUUUCCCCUUCGGGGGACAGAGUGACAGGUGGUGCAUGGUUGUCGUCAGCUCGUGUCGUGAGAUGUUGGGUUAAGUCCCGCAACGAGCGCAACCCUUAAGCUUAGUUGCCAUCAUUAAGUUGGGCACUCUAAGUUGACUGCCGGUGACAAACCGGAGGAAGGUGGGGAUGACGUCAAAUCAUCAUGCCCCUUAUGAUUUGGGCUACACACGUGCUACAAUGGACAAUACAAAGGGCUGCGAAACCGCGAGGUCAAGCAAAUCCCAUAAAGUUGUUCUCAGUUCGGAUUGUAGUCUGCAACUCGACUAUAUGAAGCUGGAAUCGCUAGUAAUCGUAGAUCAGCAUGCUACGGUGAAUACGUUCCCGGGUCU